GGGAUGGUGUCCUCCGUGAAGGUACCCCCUGGUGGAAGCCGUCGUAGCGCCAGUCCCUCCAGCUUGGAGCUGCCAGCUGAGAAGCGAGGUGCNAUCAGACUGAAAGGCAUUCCACAGCCGCGUUCCCGAGCUCAGAGUGCCGAGAGGGGCCAAGAGGAGUUGCAGGCGCUUCGGGCCGAGGUUCUGACCCUCCGGCGUNGCCUGAACGCCUCGGAGAGCCAGCGCAGAAUUCUCCUGGAGACCUCCUGGCAGCAGCAGAGGCCCCCGUUCUCGGGCCGAGAGAGGCAGGGGCCAGCGUUGGGGGCUGCGAUCCGGCCGAAGAGAAAGGAUCCCCGAGAGGUUCUGGNAAGUGACCAGACUGGGAAGAAAAGCCAGAGCUCGGGUAUAGGGGGCGUCGUCUCAGGGGUGGGAAAGGCGGAAGGGGAUGGAAGCGUGGAGGCCUCUGACCCUGCUUCCCGGGCUGGAAGGGAGAUGGCGGCUGACGCUGAGGAGAAAGAAGGACGGCAGAAGGAAACAGAGGAGGUCCAGGGGGACGUGGCUGGGGUCCGUCCACAGGCCCAGGGAGACUUGGCAUCAUUAACGGGCACAGAGGAGCUCGCCGGGAUCCAGGACCCAACCACAGAAGAGACCGAAUCUGAGGGGAAAUUGGGACCUGACGAGGCCAUGGAGGCCAUGCGUGAGGACCUGCUGGCCUUAGCCACCGGUAAGGCCCAAGCGGAGGCCCAAGCGAGCUUCGUCCAGCAGAAACUUGAAAGCCUGCAGGCCACUCUGGGGAGGCAGACGGAACGCCUGGCCCAAGCCAUGGAAACCCAGAGCCNGCAUGUGGAAGAGCUGCUGGCGGACGUGGAAGAGAAGGACCGGCUCAUGAGGAGCCUAAGCCAGGAGCUGGAAGAGACCAAGAAGGCCCUGGAAGUCGCUAAGGCCGAGGGCCAGACGUGGCGGCUGAUGCUGGAACAGAGGGAAGCCCAACCUCGUGGAGAUAUCUCUGCGGAUGUCUGUGAGGCAUGCGGAGGCAAAGAGACUGGACAGGCCUUGGUUGAGCUACAAGAGGGCCAAGCAGCCGUUGAGGAUGAAGGCCUAGCGAGACGUUCCUCAGAAGACAAGCCGGUGCAACCAGACGGGCAGGAGCAACUGGAGGCCUUUCUCACUGAACUACUGGAGGAAAAUGAGACCCUGCGCAAGGAAUUGGAGCUCUGCAAGAUGUGGUACAAGGGAACUGNUGAAUCACUUUGCUCAGGGCAUGGAAGAGAAACUGAGGCUGGAGAUGGUGCCCAGAAGAGGGAGCUGCUGCCACAGGGAAGCCGCUGCAGCGUCCAGACCCAGACGGAGGGGCCAGAGGGGAGACAUCGGCGCCGAGAGCGCAUGUCGGUGGCCUUCGAUGACACCCAGUAUGAGCCCUAUGGGCUCCCGGAGGUGGUCAUGAAAGGGUUUGCAGACAUCCCUUCCGGCCCCUCUUGCCCUUACGUCCUCCGCAGGGGCAUUUUGGAGAGCGCCCCCAUGGCCCAGCUUGCACCCCAAGCAGAACCCGAAGAGGAUACGCUGGAAGCGGAAGAGGGGACGGGCGUCUGAGCACAGCCCGGCUGAUUAUUUUGUUUGCGAUCUGCAGCUACAGUUCUCCACUAACCAUCCAAAAAAACCCCAAAUCCUUGCAGCUGUGGAAAGACCCCAUCUGGCUCUCCUUGUUCUCUGUCAGGUCCUGAAUGGAAACAGAAAUCAGCUGAUCUCCAGUUUGUUGUCUCAACAGCCUGAAUCUUCCCCCUGGUUCAUCGCAAGAUCCUCUUGAUUCAGGAAAAGUGAUGUGGUUGGAAGAAGCAUUUGAAGCGAAAGAAAAGAAUCCGGUCUCACCCAUUCUCUGACCUUCCAUUCAACAUUUUAGCCAGGAGUGUCUUGCCAGGAUUUUAAGCCAAAAACAAACAGCUUGUCACUUCGUCAGUGCGUUAUCUCAGCCUGAAAGCGGACUGAAGCUGGAUCAAAACGCAGGUGUGAACGCAGCCCGAAGUGAAGGGAGCUCAGCACCAUGGACAGCUCCCACAAUGCUUCCCCUCUUCAAACAAGCAGCCUUGGGGCAACAUCCACCAUUAUUGUGUUACAUUUAUUUAUUUCAAAUGUUAUUUCAGGGUUAGUCUGCUUUUUCAACUAAAUUGCCACGUUUUGUUACCACACCAGAGCUUUUGCACAGAGCAGGUUCCCAGGCUGCAGUCAGACCCUUUGAUCGCCCUGUUUAUUUUGGGGAGUAAAGCAACACUUUAAAAAAGGAGGAGGGGGCGGCUACUGGAAGCCCAGGACAGCUCAGAAUAUGUGUUCCAAUUCAGGAUUGGCUCAGAUAUACAUCACCCAUUAGAUUAAAUGCAUUGAUUUUUAUACGGGUUUGCUCUAGAAUCACAGUCCCUACCUGUUUGGACUUUUGGCACACCUCCCUGGAUCUCUGCCCAGCUAGCUACAAGGAGCAUCUACGGCUCCUGACCUCUAUGCCUGCCACAAUUUUGGAAGCUCCUUUGAACUACANUUCCCAUGAGCCUUAGCAAGGCAGAGGGAGCAGCUCACAGGUCCUACCUGCCCCGAGCAGAGGAANAGGAAUAUUUAAGAGGGCUCCCCUCUUCAGAGAAAACAGGUGCCUCCCCAUUUUGCAAAUUCAAGAACCCCAGCCCAGGUUUCGCUUACUUCUCUGAGCGAUUCAGAAACUAUGUGGCUUGCAGGAUGGACUUUACGUCAAGGACCGUUUCAGGUUAAAACAUGGUUAACUAUUUGAAUGGACACCCCCACCCCAUCCCCAGGGAACUUCUCCUAAAUUCUCCCCUGAAGUAAACAAUCCCAAAGCGCAUUGCCUGUGCUUUGCGAAGGAUUCGAAGGGACGUCGAUAAACGGAUCCUAAAUUUCUGCCAAAUUNCUCCCCCAGGGAAAGAAUCCUACCUCCUCUCCCCUCCUCCCCCUCCUAAAAAGAAGAUCUGUGUUGUUGUUGUUGUUGUUUUUGGGGGGGCUUCAAAGCCUUCCCAAAUCAUGGACAAUGUCCUUUUAAAUUCUCCCCCUCCUACUAUCAUACAUUUCUCAGCAAAUGGACACCUGACUUCCCACCGGCAAAAAAAAAUUAAAUAAAAAAAUACAAAGACAAACCCA
ensembl:lncRNA